GCAUCGGUGGGGCAUCGGAAACCCACAACCAUUACGUGCGAGGUUUUCGACCAAGUUGAGGGUUGAAAGCGGGGUUCGACUCCCCGUCGGUGCA